GUGGGGAAUAUUGGACAAUGGCCGGAAGGCUGAUCCAGCCAUGCCGCGUGCGGGAUGACGGCCCUAUGGGUUGUAAACCGCUUUUGCCGGGGAGCAAUAAGGCCCACGCGUGGGCCGACGAGAGUACCCGGCGAAUAAGCAUCGGCUAACUCCGUGCCAGCAGCCGCGGUAAUACGGAGGAUGCAAGCGUUAUCCGGAUUUAUUGGGUUUAAAGGGUGCGCAGGCGGCUUGCUAAGCGGGAGGUGAAAUGCCGGCGCUCAACGUCGGAAGUGCCUCCCGAACUGGUGGGCUGGAAUGACUCUGCCGUGGGAGGAAUGUGUAGUGUAGCGGUGAAAUGCUUAGAGAUUACACAGAACACCGAUUGCGAAGGCAUCUCACGAAGGGUUGAUUGACGCUGAGGCACGAAAGCGUGGGGAUCAAACAGG
rnacentral:rRNA from 1 species